rnacentral:tRNA from 1 species
GCCAAUGUAGCUCAGCUGGUAGAGCAGCUGAUUUGUAAUCAGCCGGCCGGGGGUUCAAGUCCCUCCAUUGGCU